rnacentral:tRNA from 1 species
CAACAAAUAUUUUAAAAAAAAAUAUUAAUUUUGGGUAUUAAUGAUGUAGUUGUUAAAUCUAUUUUGUUGA